rnacentral:rRNA from 1 species
GACGAACGCUGGCGGCGUGCUUAACACAUGCAAGUCGAACGGAAAGGCCCUGCUUGCCGGGUACUCGAGUGGCGAACGGGUGAGUAACACGUGGGUGAUCUGCCCUGCACUUCGGGAUAAGCCUGGGAAACUGGGUCUAAUACCGGAUAGGAGCCAUUUUUAGUGUGAUGGUUGGAAAGUUUUUUCGGUGUAGGAUGAGCUCGCGGCCUAUCAGCUUGUUGGUGGGGUAAUGGCCUACCAAGGCGGCGACGGGUAGCCGGCCUGAGAGGGUGGACGGCCACAUUGGGACUGAGAUACGGGCCAGACUCCUACGGGAGGCAGCAGUGGGGAAUAUUGCACAAUGGGCGGAAGCCUGAUGCAGCGACGCCGCGUGGGGGAUGACGGCCUUCGGGUUGUAAACUCCUUUCGCUAGGGACGAAGCUUUUUGUGACGGUACCUAGAUAAGAAGCACCGGCUAACUACGUG